UUUUAACUUAAAGUUUUUGGGUACAUGUGCACAACAUGCAGGUUUGUUACAUAGGUAUACACGUACCAUGGUGGUUUGCUGUACCCAUCAACCCGUCAUCUACAUUAGGUAUUUCUCCUAAUGGUAUCCCUCCCCUAUCCCUCCAUCCCCCCUUCCCAUUCUUUUCUAAUACACUAUAUUUCUUCAGUGUUGUCAUUGUCACUUUCCCAAACUAAAAUUAGGACUAGAUGGAAAUGUGGACAUCUCAAAUUAUUAAUCAGGUGUUCCUUCAAAUUAAUAUUAAAAGUAUUUGUUCACCACUGAUUUAGAGAAGUUGGGCAAGGUAUAAAUAAUGAAAAAACAGAGAUGGGAGCAUUACACUGCACUCAGCAAAUGAAAAUGAAAGGCCUUACACUCAACUAGAUCCAUCCUUAGAAUACAAUCUGGUCAUCAUCUUUUGUCACUUGAACUUGACCCUGAAGGAGGGGGUCUCUGUACCCUAAGUGGCUGUGCACAGCAUUCCUUCCAAAGACAUGGAAUAUGCUGCCUGAAAGAAGAUCUGAAAAAUACAAUUGUUUCUUUCCAAAUUUCCAGUAAUGUUUUAAAGGUCAUUAUAGACCACACCAAAAGUUAUCUCACUCCUUCUUUUGGUUUUGCUUAUGACAGUUCCCUACUGUAAAUACCAUCAAAUCUAAUUUGGAUGGCAUUAACUGGCCCUGUUAUCUACCAUUUGGUCACAGAAGUCUUCAGUGUUGAUUGUUGAGCGAGAGUAUAGGAGACACUGAGUUAGAUUUUUUCCCUCAGUAUCUUUACACUAUUCAAAUCCCUCAUUACCUAUUUUCUCAGCUGUCGAAUGCAGGUAACUUCUGCUCUGCUACUUCACUUAGGAUGGAAGAAGAGGAAGAAAUACAUCACCUAUUCACUCAACAAACACUGAGAAAAUACUAGGGAAGCCACUUAUACUUCUAGGGAUAUAAGGAUAAAUACUAGAGGGUUCUUGUCCACAAAGAUCUCAACAUUUCACACUUAGGAUACCAAAAAAAGCAGCCUAUGAUAGAAGAGAGGCCACUGAAUUUUGAGUCAGAACGAGGCAAAUAUUCUGACUUGAUCACUUACACAUAAUUAGUCUCUCCUUCAUCAUUGGAAAUACAGGAUUUUUGUGAAACAUAAUGUGUAUAAAGGCCCUAACAAUGUGCUAGCCACAUAAAAAACAGUCAAUAGAUGGUAUUUAUUAUUUUUGCUAUGGAUGAGUGUUAAAAUAAUAGAUAUGUAAAAUGUAAAAUGCUACAGUGCUUAAUAGGGAAUAGUACUGGGGGAGGAGGGAGAGGAAUGAAAUGAUUCUUCAAUUGGACCUGAAUGUAAGAGUUUUGCCAGGCAAAUAAAUGCAGAAAAGCGCAUCCCAGCAAGCACAGUGUAACAAAGCACAAAGGGAAAGAAAUUAAAGUGUUUCUAAAUGAACAAAAUUGUUACAGUGUUUGCUUGUGGGUAUUAGUAUCUGUUCAGCAGUUAUUAUGUGGCAAGUACAAAUUUAUCUUUACAAAAACCCCUGUGAGGUAGAUAUCGUACUCCCCAUUUGACAGAUCAGAAAACAGGGGUUUAGCAAGGAUAAACAACCUGCACGGUAAUACAUGGAUGCUAUGGGGUAGAGCCAAGGGAACAAUCCAAGUGUGUCCGACUCCAAAGGUUAUGCUCUUGGAAAAUCAAACUGGAGAGAAUGGCAGACUCUUAUAAAGCAUGCCAAGGAUGUGGUCAUUUAUUUAGGAAACAAAGGGGAAACAUUAAAGGUGUACAGGCUUGACACAUUCAAAGCUGUGUCUGCUCCUCGGUGCAUUGCUGCUCGGGCGCCGCAGCCCGCAGCCGCCAGCCUCCCCCGGCCGUGCCCCUCCCCCGUGGAGCCGGCUGUCGGUCGGCGCCCACUGACCCACAUUCUUGCCUUCUCUAUCCAACUGUGAAAGU
rnacentral:lncRNA from 1 species